UACGGAGGGUGCAAGCGUUAUCCGGAUUUACUGGGUUUAAAGGGUGCGCAGGCGGAUAUGUAAGUCAGUGGUGAAAUCUCUAGGCUUAACCUGGAAAUUGCCGUUGAUACUAUAUAUCUUGAAUGCUGUGGAGGUAAGCGGAAUAUGUCAUGUAGCGGUGAAAUGCUUAGAUAUCUGGAGGAACACCGGUGGCGAAGGCGGCAUCCUGGACCAAUACUGACGCUGAGGAGCGAAAGCCAGGGGAGCAAACGGG
rnacentral:rRNA from 1 species